rnacentral:misc_RNA from 1 species
CUUUGAUUUAUUUGUUAUGUUGUAUAAAUGAAACGAAACGAUUAAAUUGAUACUAUUUUUACCUUUAGGACGGCCAGUCGUUGGAAUUAACGCAAGUGAACGAUAUCAGGCAAGGCGGAAUACCAAAGGAUCCUCGUCUGCUUUCGGAACUUCAAUGUCGUUUUAAAGGCAAUUUAGAAGAUAUAUCGUUAACAAUAUGUGCGGGAGCGGAUAUGGUUAACAUCAAUUACACUCACAUUGUGUGUCCGGAUGAAGAAAUAGCAAAGACAUGGAGGGAUGUUUUAAGGCGUAUCACAAAUAAUAACAAAGCCAAUAACAUUUGUCCAAUGACGUCGUUAAAGAAACAUUGGAUGAAGCUUUGUUACUCUGUGGAUCCAGACGGUAAAAUACCGGUGAGGAGGAUUUCGCAGACUUUCGCUUCUGGGAAAACGGAAAAAUUGGUUUACCAAUGUCUAGGUGAAAUAGGACUACCAAACGACAAGAACGAUGUUAUAGAACCUCGCGAUUUUACAUUCGAUAAAUUUUAUCAAAUAUAUCAUAAGCUAUGUCCUAGAAACGAUAUCGAAGAACUCUUUCAAUCUCUAACUCAGGGUAAAACGGAUACUUUGAGCAUGGAACAAUUCAUUACUUUUCUAAAUCAAAGACAACGAGAUCCAAGAUUGAACGAGAUUCUUUAUCCUCUUUACGAAGAGAAACGUGCCAAAGAAAUAAUCUUGAAUUACGAACAAAAUGAAGAAAAUUGCAAAGAUAGUAAAUUAAGUCACGACGGUUUAAUUCGCUAUUUAAUGUCGGACGAUAAUGCGCCAGUUCUGUUAGAUCACCUCGAUAUUUAUAUGGACAUGGACCAACCAUUAUCUCAUUAUUACAUUAAUUCCUCUCAUAAUACUUAUUUGAGUGGUAGACAGUUUGGUGGCAAAUCGUCGGUCGAAAUGUAUCGCCAAGUGUUAUUGGCUGGCUGCAGGUGCGUCGAAUUGGACUGUUGGGACGGUAAGGGAGAAGACGAGGAGCCUAUUAUAACGCACGGGAAGGCUAUGUGUACAGAUAUCAUAUUUAAAGAUGUUAUUUACGCUAUUCGCGAUUGUGCAUUUGUUACAUCCGACUAUCCAAUAAUAUUGUCUUUUGAGAAUCAUUGUAGUAAGAAGCAACAGUAUAAAUUAGCCAAAUACUGCGACGAUAUUUUAGGAGAUCUUCUCCUGAAAGAACCUCUUCCUACUCAUCCCCUGGAACCGGGAAUACCUCUUCCUAGUCCUAAUGAUCUCAAGAGAAAGAUCCUUAUCAAAAACAAAAGACUUCGUCCCGAAGUAGAAAAACAGGAGUUGGAAUUAUGGAAAAAAGGCCAACUUCAGAACGACGACGACGACGACGACGACGACGACACCACGACGUCAUCACCCAGUGUCGCCAUGUCGCCUUCUGAUGAAGUUCCCAACGAAUCGGAAAGAAAGGAAGCUUCUGCCGAACAGUUAGCCAUGGCUAAUUAUCAAUACACGGGUGCAACCAUCCACGUUCAUCCUUAUUUAUCUGCGAUGGUUAAUUACGCCCAACCCAUCAAGUUCCAGGGUUUCGAGGUAGCCGAAGAAAGAAACGUUUAUCAUCAUAUGUCUUCAUUUGCCGAAAACGCCGCUUUGGGUUACCUUAAAUCGCAAGCCAUCGAAUUUGUCAAUUACAACAAAAGACAAAUGAGCCGAAUAUAUCCGAAAGGAACUCGAGCAGAUUCUAGCAAUUUUCAGCCUCAGAUCUUUUGGAACGCUGGCUGUCAAAUGGUAGCUUUAAAUUUUCAAACUUCCGACUUACCUAUGCAAUUAAAUCAAGGGAAAUUUGAAUAUAACGGAGCUUGCGGUUAUUUGUUGAAGCCAGAUUUUAUGAGAAGACCAGACAAGACGUUCGAUCCUUUCGCCGAAUCGCCGGUGGACGGUGUUAUAGCGGCUCAGUGUUCGGUGCGCAUUAUAUCCGGGCAGUUUCUGUCGGAUAAGAAAGUAGGGACUUACGUGGAAGUGGACAUGUACGGAUUACCCACCGACACGAUAAGAAAAGAAUUCCGAACUCGAAUGAUACCUUCCAACGGAUUAAAUCCUGUUUACAACGACGAACCUUUUGUUUUUCGUAAGAUCGUUUUGCCCGAUUUAGCUGUGAUUCGUUUGGCCGUUUACGACGAAAACGGCAAACUCUUGGGGCAGCGAAUACUUCCCAUGGACGGUCUGCAGACGGGUUAUCGUCACAUCGCUCUGAGGACCGAAGGAAACUUUCCCAUGUCGCUAGCCAUGCUCUUCAUUUGCAUCGAACUGAAAAUCUACGUACCCGACGGAUUAGGAGAUCUGAUGGACGCACUAUCGGACCCGAGGGCGUUUCUAUCGGCCCAAGAGAAGAGGAUCGCUCAGAUGAAGGCGAUGGGAAUCGAAGAAUCGGACAUAAUGACCAAAGAAGUGAAGACCGACGACAGGUCCUUCAGCGCCAAGAAGGAAGAAGAGAAAAAAGACGAGUUCGUAAUGGAUUCGAUAACGCUGGACGGACUGAAGUACGAGAAACCCUACGUGAAGAUGGUGAAGAAACACCAGAAGGAGGUGGAAAGUCUGAGGAGGCGUCACAACAAGGAAAAGACGGCCAUUCAGAAAAGACAGUGUUCGGCCAUCGACAAGCUAGUCAAGGGAUGCAAAAAGGACGAUCUGGUAAACGAUCCGCGCAUUCGAGAGUUGGUCGUAGAACAGAUCAGACAAUGGUCGGAACUGUUAGAGAGACAGAGAAAGGAAGAGUGGGAAGUGUUGAAGAACCAAACCUCUCAACAAGAGAGAACAAAGACAUGAAGACCAAACAGGCCAAAAUAUCCGUGGAGACCGCCAAAGAGGUGGCCAACGACCGAACUCUCCGCAACAAAGCCGAAAAAGAAAGGCGACUGAGGG